GUGACGUGGAAGAUGAACACGGCAUGGAUGUGCACGGUUGAAUUCGGAAUGGGAUACUCGGGAGGAGAUGAGAAGAUAAGGAUGAUAGUUUUGAAGCAGGGGAGAAUGCAUUUGGACGUUGGGAUGCUUGACGGGCGAGAUGAAGACCGGAUCAACAUGACGUGAGGCUGGAUAUGGCACGGGAUGCGGAAGAAGCUAGGAUCCGGUUCUAAUCCGUGAAGCUUGGGAAUCUAGUUGGGAUAAAGAUUGGUUGGUUUGGGAGGAAGUUUGGAUUCAGCUGGGUCUUGGUUCCGAACGGGAGAAAGAAGAGGAUCCGCUUGGUGGUUCUCACGCGGAACAGGGGAAGUUUGGAUUUAGUUCGUGGGUCACGGGAACUGGGAAGGACGUGAUUCGUGGGAGUGAAGAAGAAGCUUGGACACGUGGAAGGAAAGGCUUUGGCUGAUUUGUGAAACU
rnacentral:lncRNA from 1 species